UGGGGAAUUUGGACAAUGGGCGAAAGCCUGAUCCAGCAAUGCCGCGUGUGUGAAGAAGGCCUUCGGGUUGUAAAGCACUUUUGUCCGGAAAGAAAUCCUUGGCUCUAAUACAGUCGGGGGAUGACGGUACCGGAAGAAUAAGCACCGGGCUAACUACGUGCCAGCAGCCGCGGUAAUACGUAGGGUGCAAGCGUUAAUCGGAAUUACUGGGCGUAAAGCGUGCGCAGGCGGUUUGCUAAGACCGAUGUGAAAUCCCCGGGCUCAACCUGGGAACUGCAUUGGUGACUGGCAGGCUAGAGUAUGGCAGAGGGGGGUAGAAUUCCACGUGUAGCAGUGAAAUGCGUAGAGAUGUGGAGGAAUACCGAUGGCGAAGGCAGCCCCCUGGGCAAGUACUGACGCUCAUGCACGAAAAGCGUGGGGAGCAAACNGGAUUAAUNCCCUGGUAGUCCACGCCCUAAANGAUGUCAACUAGUUGUU
rnacentral:rRNA from 1 species